rnacentral:rRNA from 1 species
AUUGAACGCUGGCGGCAGGCCUAACACAUGCAAGUCUAGCGGAAACGAUCCUAGCUUGCUAGGAGGCGUCGAGCGGCGGACGGGUGAGUAAUGCAUAGGAAUCUGCCCGAUAGUGGGGGAUAACCUGGGGAAACUCAGGCUAAUACCGCAUACGUCCUACGGGAGAAAGCAGGGGAUCUUCGGACCUUGCGCUAUCGGAUGAGCCUAUGUCGGAUUAGCUUGUUGGUGAGGUAAUGGCUCACCAAGGCGACGAUCCGUAGCUGGUCUGAGAGGAUGAUCAGCCACAUCGGGACUGAGACACGGCCCGAACUCCUACGGGAGGCAGCAGUGGGGAAUAUUGGACAAUGGGCGAAAGCCUGAUCCAGCCAUGCCGCGUGUGUGAAGAAGGCUUUCGGGUUGUAAAGCACUUUCAGUGAGGAAGAAAGCCUUGGGGCUAAUACCCCCAAGGGACGACAUCACUCACAGAAGAAGCACCGGCUAACUCCGUGCCAGCAGCCGCGGUAAUACGGAGGGUGCGAGCGUUAAUCGGAAUUACUGGGCGUAAAGCGCGCGUAGGCGGCUUGAUAAGCCGGUUGUGAAAGCCCCGGGCUCAACCUGGGAACGGCAUCCGGAACUGUCAGGCUAGAGUGCAGGAGAGGAAGGUAGAAUUCCCGGUGUAGCGGUGAAAUGCGUAGAGAUCGGGAGGAAUACCAGUGGCGAAGGCGGCCUUCUGGACUGACACUGACGC